UCUCUCUCUCUCUCUCUCUCUCUCUCUCUCUCUCCCUCUCUCUCUCUCUCAAAAAUAAAUAAACAUUUAAAAAUUAUUUAAAAAGGGCCCUUUGGAAUCACGUGACCCACUUCUGUGAUCCACCCAGCAUAAGCCACUCAGUUUACAGGUAUGCCUGCACCCAUAUAAACCACAAAUGCCUCUUGAGGUGGGGGUGGGGAGCAGGGAGCAUUCACGAUGCCCUGCUCUGGCCAUGCUCAGGGCACUCAGGGCCGGCACUCCAUAAGGACCUCCUGUUGAGUUAAUGAACUCAGGAAACAUCUACCAGGGACUACCAGGGACUCCUCUCUGUGUUGUCCUUAAAUGGAUGUCUGUCCUCCCCGCUUCCCCCAGGGGAAGGGAAGGGCUGGAGGAUUUGAGAGCUCAGGGGCCUGGGCACACCCCAAGAACUCUGAUCUGGCUCUUCACCCACGAGAGACAAGGCAGUGCACUUAGAGGCCAUGCCCUGACCACGGGAAAUGAAAAUGGCAGCCUGAUGUAGGAAUCCAGCGGGUGGGGAGGGUCCCUUACCUCAGAACCACCCGGAACUGGUUGAACACCUCCUGGAUCUGUCUGAGGUUGAUUAUCUGGAGGGAAGAGAGCAAGGCAGAGGUUAGGCCUCUGGCAGCACAGCACAGGGUGUGUCUCUGUUCAUAGAGAAACCAGGACUCCUUGACUAACCCUUUGAUCCUCUGUCUUGAGAAUGGCAUAUCUGUUCUCCUCAAGAACAAAGAAACAAUUGGUUAAUAGUUUUCAAGCUAAGUAUUUAUUGAGGCUAUAAAAAUGACCUUUUCUAAGGGAAGAUCUCUGUAAAAUUAGAAUGUAUCUAGUACUUGAAAAUACUAAGAAAAAACAUUUUAACAAAAUGUAUUGUCCUCAGC